rnacentral:rRNA from 1 species
UACGAAGGGGGGCUAGCGUUGCUCGGAAUCACUGGGCGUAAAGGGUGCGUAGGCGGUCGGGUAAGUCUGAUGUGAAAUCUCACAGCUUAACUGUGAAACUGCAUUGGAUACUAUCCGGCUAGAGGAAUGGAGGGGAGACUGGAAUACUUGGUGUAGCAGUGAAAAUGCGUAGAUAUCAAGUGGAACACCAGUGGCGAAAGGCGAAGUCUCUGGACAUUUCCUGACGCUGAGGCACGAAAGCCAGGGGAGCAAACGGG